rnacentral:rRNA from 1 species
AGAGUUUGAUUCUGGCUCAGAACGAACGCUGGUAGCGUGGAUUAGGCAUGCAAGUCGGACGGGAUCCGUGCGGUAGCAAUAUCGCAUGGUGAGAGUGGCGGAUUGGGGAGGAACACGUGAGCAACCUGUCCUCGGGUGGGGGAAAACCGCUGGAAACGGCGGCUAAUACCGCAUGAGGCGCCGCAGGGGCAUCCCUGAGGCGGGAAAGGGGGCCGAAAGGCUCUCGCCGGAGGAGGGGCUCGCGCACCAUCGGCUCGUUGGCGGGGUAACGGCCCACCAAGGCUCACGGUUAGCUGGUCUGAGAGGAUGGCCAGCCCCACUGGGACUGAGCCAGCCCCACUGGGACUGAGAUACUGCCCAGACUCCUACGGGAGGCUGCAGUCGAGGAUCAUUUGCAAUGGGCGAAAGCCUGACAAUGCGACGCUGCGUGGAGGAUGAAGGCCCUCGGGUCGUAAACUCCUGUCAUGGGGGAACAGGCGAAGGCGGUGAACACCCGCCGGAGUUGAGUGUACCCCAAGAGGAAGCGACGGCUAACUCUGUGCCAGCAGCCGCGGUAAUACAGAGGUCGCAAGCGUUGUUCGGAUUUACUGGGCGUAAAGGGCGCGUAGGCGGCGCGGCGUGUCGGAUGUGAAAUCCCCGGGCUCAACCCGGGAAGUGCGUCCGAGACUGCCGCGCUCGAGUCCGGAAGGGGGAAUCGGAAUGCAGGGUGUAGCGGUGAAAUGCGUUGAUAUCCUGCAGAACACCGGAGGCGAAGGCGGAUUCCUUGUACGGCACUGACGCUGAGGCGCGAAAGUCGGGGGAGCAAACAGGAUUAGAUACCCUGGUAGUCCCGACCUUAAACGGUGCGCGCUAGGGGUGGGGCCCAUUCACCGGCCCCGUCCCCAAGCCAACGCGUUAAGCGCGCCGCCGCCUGGGGAGUACGGCCGCAAGGCUAAAACUCAAAGAAAUUGACGGGGGCCCGCACAAGCAGAGGAGCAUGUGGCUUAAUUCGAUGCAACGCGAAGAACCUUACCUGGGCUUGACAUGCGGGUGCACGGGGCGUGAAAGCGCCCCUCCUUCGAGGGUCCCGCACAGGUGCUGCAUGGCUGUCGUCAGUUCGUGCCGUGAGGUGUUUGGUUAAGUCCACCAACGAACGCAACCCCUUUGCGAUGUUGCCAGCGGGUAGAGCCGGGGACUCGUCGCACACUGCUCGUUCACGCGAGAGGAAGGUGGGGAUGACGUCAAGUCAGUAUGGCCCUUACGCCCAGGGCCGCACACGUGCUACAAUGGCAUAUGCAGAGCGACGCGAAGCCGCGAGGCGGAGCAAAUCGCGCAGAGUAUGCCCCAGUUCAGAUCGGGGUCUGCAACCCGACCCCGUGAAGUCGGAUUUGCUAGUAACGGCGCAUCAGCUACGGCGCCGUGAAUGCGUUCCCGGGCCUUGUACACACCGCCCGUCACAUCAUGAAAGCCGUCUGCACCCGAAGUCCGGCACUCCGUCGGCCUAAGGUGUGGGUGGUGAUUGGGGGCCA